ensembl:lncRNA
AUGAUUUUUAUCUUUCCUAAACAAUUUCAAAACAAAUAUUUGACAUCAUGUCAUUCUACUUCUCAAUAUUUCAGUGUGGAACUUAAAACAGAAGGAGGGACUGAAAUAUGGGCCGUGUUCAGUGAUAUGCUCCCAAAACCUAGAAGUUGGAAAUGGGAAGUCACUUUACAAUGGAGAAGCCUAGUAAACAGCAAAGACUGCGUUGGCCAAGUGAUCAAGAUUAACCUCAACAGUGAUGCAGAAGCUGAACAGGAAAGUAAAAUGCAAUGGUUUUCAAAUGUUUUGCAGAUUAGCAAAUUCUUAUUAAGUCAGGUAUCACAUAGACCAGUGGAACACAAUAGAGAACCAGAAAUAAAGCUACGUACCUACAACCACUUGAUCUUCAACAAACCCAAAAGAAGCAAUGAGGAAAAGAUUCCCUAUUCAAUAAAUGGUGCUGAGAUAACUGAUGCACAUGGAUACAUAUGCAGAAGAAUAAAACUGGACUCCUACAUCGCCAAAUACAAAAAUUAACUCAAGAUGGACGAAAGACUUAAAUGUAAGUUCCCAAUCUAUUAAUAUAAAAACCCUAGAAGAAAACCUUGGAAUUACCCCUCUUGAUAUUGGGCUUGGCAAAAAAUUUUGGCUAAGUCCCCCAAAGCAAUGGCAACAAAACCAAAAAUUGAUAAAUGGGACCUAAUUAAAGAGCUUCUGCACAGCAAAAGAAACUAUCAAGGAAGUAAACAGCCUACAGAAUGAGGGAAAAUAUUCAUAAACUAUGCAUCCAACAAAGGUCUAAUAUCUAGAAUCUAUAAGACACUUAAACAAAUUAGCAAUCAAAGAACAAACCUGUUAAAAGGUGAGCAAAGAAUGUGAACAGUUUUUAAAGGAAGAUAUACAAGUGGCCAACAAACAAAAAAUGCUCAUCAUCACUGAUCCUCAGAUAGAUGCAAAUUAAAACCUCGGAGAGAUGCCAUCUCACACCUGUCAGAGUGUCUUUUGUUAAAAAAUCAAAAAACAACAGAUGUUGGCAAGGCUGUGGAGAAAAGGGGACACUUAUACACUGUUGGUGGGAUUGUAAAUUAGUCCAGCCACCGUGGAAAGCAAUUUGGAGAUUUCUCAAAGAACUAAGAGUUGAGCUACCAUUCGACCUAGAAAUGCCAUUACUGCCAUUACUGGGUAUACACCCAAAGGAAAAUUAAUUGUUCCAUCAAAAGGACACUUGCACCUGUAUGUUCAUUGAAGCACGAUUCAUAAUAGUAAAUAUAUGGAAUCAAUCUAGGUCUUCACCAAAGCGGGCUGGAUUAAAAAAGUAUGGUAUUAGCCAGGUAUAGUGGCUCAUGCCUGCAGUCCCACACUUUGGAAAUCCAAGGCAGGAGCAUUGUUUGAAACAUUGCUCAAGACUAAUCUGGGCAACAUGGCAAGAAAGACU